CCCAGACUCCUACGGGAGGCAGCAGUGGGGGAUAUUGCACAAUGGGGGAAACCCUGAUGCAGCGACGCCGCGUGUGGGAAGACGGUCCUCUGGAUUGUAAACCACUGUCCCCAGGGACGAAAAUGACGGUACCUGGGGAGGAAGCUCCGGCUAACUACGUGCCAGCAGCCGCGGUAAUACGUAUGGAGCAAGCGUUAUCCGGAUUUACUGGGCGUAAAGGGAGCGUAGGCGGCCUGCCAAGUCUGAUGUGAAAUACCGGGGCUCAACCCCGGGGCUGCAUUGGAAACUGGCAGGCUGGAGUGCCGGAGAGGCAGGCGGAAUUCCUAGUGUAGCGGUGAAAUGCGUAGAUAUUAGGAGGAACACCAGUGGCGAAGGCGGCCUGCUGGACGGUGACUGACGCUGAGGCUCGAAAGCGUGGGAAGCAAACAGGAUUAGAUACCCCCGUACA
rnacentral:rRNA from 1 species